UGUGGUAUUUUCAAAAUUCAUUUUUAAUCCUUCAUUAGUUGCCAGUUAGAACAAUGUAUCAUAUAAGCUUACAAUUAAAUUUAAAUCCUCUUUUGAUGACAUAAAUGGAUUCCAGAUCUAUGAAUUUGCCGUAUGUAGACAUUCUUUUGUUGGAAAAUAAAACUUAAAGCAUUCUAUCAAAUUCACAAUAGUUUGAUUACUUCUUACAGAUGUGCAAUAUCAAGACAAUCACCAACUUCAAUGACAAUUGUUAAAUUAUGGAACAUGUAAUAACAAUCUGUAGCAACUCUGGUCUUUCAAGCUUCUACCUUUUGCUUUUGCUCUUUGAUUUUAUCUGCCAUUAAAAAACAAGUUGCAUUCCUGCCUUGUAUGAAAGAAUUCUGAAGCUAUCAGAACUGUCUUCAGAUAAUUGAAGAUAGUAACUUCAGGUAACUCUAGCUGGCCAAUUUAUAUCUUUAUUUCAUUUUAUUAUUUUAUUUUGAGGCAGAGUUUCACUCUUUUUAUCCAGGCUGGUGUGCAGUGGCACAAUCUUGGCUCACUGCAACCUCUGCUUCCUGGGUUCAAGCGAUUCUCCUGCCUUAGCCUCCCGAGUAGCAAGGAAUACAGGUGUGUGCCACCACGCCCAGCUAAUUUUUGUAUUUUUAGUAGAGAUGGGGUUUCACCAUGUUGGCCAGGCUGGUCUCGAACCUCUGACCUCAGGUGAUCCGCCUGCCUCGGCCUCCCAAAGUGCUGGGAUUACAGGCAUGAGCCACCGCACCCAGCCCAAUGUAUAGUUGUUUGUUUUCCAAACUAUUACAUAAAGAGAACAAUCUCAAACUUAUUGCAUUAGCCUUUACACAAGUUAUGUUCUUUACUAAGUCACUGAACACACUGUACAGUUCAGUUGAUAUGCUUUUUCUACCAAGACUUUUUCAAAUAAAAAGAUAUAGUAGGUUGAUUUACAUUCUAGGGCAAGCUCCUUAAUUUAGGUAAUUAUUCCGGAAUGUUCUCUUACCACUGCUGCUAUCCAUCCAAUUGGA
rnacentral:lncRNA from 10 species